ensembl:lncRNA
CGCUUCCAUAACCCCCACCUUCGACAUGAGGAAUAAGCUGAACUUUCCAACUUGAUAUGAAAACUCAUGGUGCUGCCAGGCCUCUGCCUCACCAGAUGGUGUCCUCACUGGGGCUUUGGCUUCCUCUGCUGCACCCUCCCUCUCAGGGGUAUCUUCCAGCUCUUCUUGACAUCCUUUCGAAUAACGUAGGCCUGUUUGCAAAGACUGCAGGACAGGAGCAAGCGCACGCUCAUGAAAGAGCGUGGCCUCUCUUUGAUGUCCCUGGCACCCGGCACACUCGGAGAAGUGCCAGCCCCUUUGGCACCAUCAUCUGCUG